UACGUAGGGUGCAAGCGCUGCCCGGAUUUAUUGGGCGUAAAGAGCUCGUAGGCGGUUUGGUAAGUCAGGUGUUAAAUCCCCAGGCUCAACCUGGGGCUGCCAUCUGAUACUGCCAUGACUUGAGUCCGGUAGGGGACCACGGAAUUCCAGGUGUAGCGGUGAAAUGCGCAGAUAUCUGGAGGAACACCAGUAGCGAAGGCGGUGGUCUGGGCCGGCACUGACGCUGAGGAGCGAAAGCGUGGGGAGCGAACAGG
rnacentral:rRNA from 1 species